CUGGUGCUAAUUUAAGAGAUGCAAGGCACUUCUUCAGAUUUUGGCUCUUGAAGUUCAAAUAGUUUUAAUAACGGCCUUGCUUCAGGGAGGUGAGUUUUGGAAGUUUGGGUCAUGUGGUGCCCAACUUUGUAAAGAUGUGGUUUAGAUCUUCAAAAUCAGUUCGUAAACGCAUAAUAGUGAUAAUACACAAAACAUAUAUUCUCUAUACUGUAUCCAUUCUGUAUCUUUUGUACGGUCAUAUCUCUUGUUUGUAGCUUCACACGUCUUGUAUUAUCAUCUCCAUUGCUGGUUUAAGUGUGUUUGUGUGUCCCUGAGUAUAAUAUAUGUACUAGCUAAGUGCACAGUAGUAUAAAAUUGAAGUGAUUCAAAAUUUUACAGGAGCUGCUUCAUCUUCAACAUCAUGACAAAAGUCAUAGCUCUGGCAUUACUAGUAAUAGUGCAUUGUUCAGGUUAAAAAAAAAGUGUGCACCAAUGCGUCUGAUCAUCAUUCCUGGGUACUUGCUUUGAAUCUAAGGACUACAGGCACAUCAAGCAAAAUGGAUAUAUUGAUAUCCUUCGAUGGUGAUGCUGCACAAAAGUUCAGAAGUAAUAAAAGGGCAUCUGCUGGAGGUAUUUGGUUCAUUCUAUACAAAUGAGACUGUUGAACAAAACAAAGAUAUACAAGUGACUCUUAUGUGUCUGCGACUCUGGUCAGGGAAAGGACAAUCCUUAGAACUUGAGACCUCUGCUGUUUGGUAACAGCCUUGUAGAAAGUCAUUGCCAAGGUCGAGUGCUUCUGGUUUAGUAGCUUGGUGAAACUCAGUUAACCAAGAGGUAGCUUCUAAGACCAUAUGUCCAUAUCUUGAGCCGUUUUAAUUUUCUUGCCGCAGGACAUUAUUGCGAUAUUUUCAUAUUGUCCAAAUGAGCAUAAGGAGCAAAUUAAAAGCAUCAUUAUGUAUAUAUUGAGCAGCAAGAAGCUCCAAUCCUUGACGUGCCAUUCAUCAUGUAAUUGCAAAGUAAAGCCUGAAAAGAGAGAACAUGUUGAAUCAGUGUGCAGGAGCAGAAGAGAUGACUUGCACUUUGGCUUGCCACAUCUUUUCUCACAAAAGCUGAUAUAUAUCACCAUCAGAGGUUGAAGUACGUAAGCACAUGAGAAAGAACUUGCUGCCUAGCUAUCCAAUAAGUUAUUUUGACAGUGUAGAAACCCCUUUUCUCAGGACAUCAUAUUAAUUUAUCCACAGCCUCGACGAUUCAGGAGGAUGCAAAGAAUUUUUGUAGCAAUAGGAGGAGGAGCCAGCACCAGUUCUUGGUUCCAUUCUAGAUUAGUAUUAUCGUUUGUCUUAUUAUUGUGUAUCUUGAUGCGUACUGGUAUCUAUGAUUGGAGAUAGAUUGGAUCCUAAUAAACAUUGAGCUA